AAGAUUAUACAAGCUUUAGGCCCCACAAAGCAUGGAUCCGCCCCUGUCUACCAGCAGAGCAGAUGGGGGAAAGCUACUAUGGAUGGGAAAAAUUGAGGGACAGAGAACAAGAGUCUUAUUUCAGACCACAUUCAUCACAAAGCAUCUGGAAGUUUGGGGAAGCAUCUCACUGUGGUCAAAGAUGAGUUCUACAUUUCGGGGACAAUGAUACAGAGAUGCCCCUGAAAAUGGAGUAGAACUAACCCAUUCUUCCAGCCAGCAGACUCUGCUCUAUGAAAGAAGCUGCUCACAUCCCAACCAUGACUCAGGUCCCCGAUGCCACGAGCCCAAGGAAUGAUCGGUCUUAAUGAAAGUGAUUGCCUGUUAAUCUCCCUUCCUAGGGGACUGAGCCAGAGAGGAGAUAGCAAAGACUCAUUCAGGACCUCCUAUUUUAUAUGCUUUAACUCAUUUCAUAAUAGAUGCUCACCCUUCUCUUGUAUUUUAAUUUAAUGAAUGAA